UACGUAGGUGGCAAGCGUUGUCCGGAAUUAUUGGGCGUAAAGCGCGCGCAGGUGGUUUCUUAAGUCUGAUGUGAAAGCCCACGGCUCAACCGUGGAGGGUCAUUGGAAACUGGGGAACUUGAGUGCAGGAGAAAAGAGUGGAAUUCCACGUGUAGCGGUGAAAUGCGUAGAGAUGUGGAGGAACACCAGUGGCGAAGGCGACUCUUUGGCCUGUAACUGACACUGAGGCGCGAAAGCGUGGGGAGCAAACAGG
rnacentral:rRNA from 1 species